UAUCUGUUUUUCCCUUCUCUAUCUGGUCUGGAAAGAUGUAAGAGGACCGUUCUCUGUGGAUGACAGCGUACCCUCUGAGGAGAGUAGUAAUGCGAAUAUCUGUUAGGGGUCACCUUUGACUAAGUAUUAUCAUGAUUGUAGAUAUCUAAUAGGACCACUAUGGUUGGUACGACCAUGGUUGUAGAUCAUACCAUGGUUUGGCAAGUCGGAAUUAUGCUUGAGCAAAUUGCCAUUAUCU
rnacentral:lncRNA from 1 species